rnacentral:rRNA from 1 species
GAUGAACGCUGGCGGCGUGCCUAAUACAUGCAAGUCGAGCGAACAGACGAGGAGCUUGCUCCUCUGACGUUAGCGGCGGACGGGUGAGUAACACGUGGCUAACCUACCUAUAAGACUGGGAUAACUUCGGGAAACCGGAGCUAAUACCGGAUAAUAUUUUGAACCGCAUGGUUCUAUAGUGAAAGACGGUUUUGCUUUCACUUAUAGAUGGAUCCGCGCCGGAUUAGCUAGUUGGUAAGGUAACGGCUUACCAAGGCAACGAUGCGUAGCCGACCUGAGAGGGUGAUCGGCAACACUGGAACUGAGACACGGUCCAGACUCCUACGGGAGGCAGCAGUAGGGAAUCUUCCGCAAUGGGCGAAAGCAUGACGGAGCAACGCCGCGUGAGUGAUGAAGGUCUUCGGAGCGUAAAACUCUGUUAUUAGGGAAGAACAAAUGUGUAAGUAACUAUGCACGUCUUGACGGUAACUAAUCAGAAAGCCACGGCUAACUACGUG